rnacentral:rRNA from 1 species
CAUGCAUGUAUAAGUAUAAACGCUUUAAGCGUGAAACUGCGUACGGCUCAUUACAACAGCAAUAAUUUACUUGAUCUUGACAACCUACAUGGAUAACUGUGGUAAUUCUAGAGCUAAUACAUGCACCAAAGCUCCGACCCGCGAGGGGAGAGCGCAUUUAUUAGAACAAAACCAAGCGGCUUCGGCCGUCCAUUGUUGACUCAGAAUAACUAAGCUGAUCGUACGGUCUUGUACCGACGACGUGUCUUUCAAGUUUCUGCCUUAUCAACUUUCGAUGGUAGUGUAUCUGACUACCAUGGUGGUGACGGGUAACGGAGGAUAAGGGUUCGACUCCGGAGAAGGGGCCUGAGAAAUGGCCACUACGUCUAAGGAUGGCAGCAGGCGCGCAAAUUACCCACUCUCAAUGCGAGGAGGUAGUGACGAGAAAUAACGAGGCCGUUCUCUUUGAGGCCGGUCAUCGGAAUGGGUACAAUUUAAACCCUUUAACGAGUAUCUAUGAGAGGGCAAGUCUGGUGCCAGCAGCCGCGGUAAUUCCAGCUCUCAAAAUGCAUAGAAUUAUUGCUGCGGUUAAAAAGCUCGUAGUUGGAUCUGUGCCUGUGCUCCGGUCCACCUCGCGGUGCGCACUGGGUGUCACAGGCUUUCCUGCAGUGUUCAGCCCCGGCGCCUUCACCGGCACCGGUGUGCUGAUGCUGCAAGUUUACUUUGAACAAAUCGGAGUGCUCCAAACAGGCGUUUGCUUGAACGUUCGUGCAUGGAAUAAUAGAAGAGGAUUUCGGUUCAAUUUUAUUGGUUUUAUUGGCCGAGAUAAUGGUUAACAGAGACAAACGGGGGCAUUUGUAUUGCUG